GCCGGAGCAGGGCAACUUGCCGCCCAUCGGAACAGUGCCUGAAGCGCUGGCAGCCGGGGAGAGCGCCGAGCUCACGCCGUCCCCUAUCCUCCUUCUCAAGUAGCGGCUCUCCCCGUGCCGGCCUCUCCACACUCGGACUUUCCUCUCCCAUCGGCCGUCGUCCAAGCCUAGGUAAUGUGUUCAAUCCUUGGUCGUCUCCCAAUAAUCAAUUGAGAUAUUCCUGUUCGAUUACCUAGCUUUGGUUCUAGCAGAGACAUUAUGUUGGUGGUAGAAUAACUAAUCACAACACUGAGAUGCUCCCUGCUUAUUAGUUUAUAUAGCUUCUUACUCUGUACUGAAAUGGUAGAUUUUUGUAGCAGAUGGAUUUCACUUCCAUCAAUGCUUGCAUGUGGUUUUCUGAACCUUGAAACUGAACCCCAUCUGUGGUUCCUGUUUAGAUCUGACGAAAGUUAAGGUUUUUUGGUGUUUACCAAAAGGCACAAUUUAUACAUACUUGUCUGAAAACUUAAGCGUUGUUGGGUGGUAUAGUAACUCUGCCUGAAACUCUCUAGUGUGUACAAUCAGUAAAAACAACAUGAGCAAUAGGACCUGGGACAUGCACAAUUUAUUUAUCAACAUGAGCAGUAGAAGUCUCCUGAGUACCAUGGUGGCAAACCGUUUGGAAGGUGGAGAAGCGGACGCUGGCAGCAGUGCUCCCGCUCACCACAGUAGUGACGAAGAACCGCUCAGGAAGCCGGAGAAGCGGGCGCGAGUGGUGGUGCUUGUUGAAUGGACGACGGUUGUGGUGCCACCUCUGCUCCAGGGCCUCAUCAGCAAAAUCACGAAAGGUAGGACAAGCAGCAGAAAGUGGUGCUGCUGCAUUUGGGCAGCCACUGUAGCUUUGGAUGUGCUCUCCCAUGUUUGAUCUGUUUUGCUGCUGCAAGAGAGGUAGGGUUUGAUAAAUUGUCUAGAUUAAUGUGUUUUAUCUUGUUGUGGUGCAGGCUGCCUAUGAGACUGAGUGGGCAUGUCUAAGUUUAGUGUGAGCUUGCUAUGUCUCCAGUUGCUAGGCCUGCUAUGGAAUCGAUGAAGUUGGUUCCUAAUGGGUGCUAUUUGCUUAUUUGUAGAUUCUUCUUUCUAUCCUGAAGUUUCCAAAUUAUUUUCUCUGCAGCUCACUAUGGUAAUAAACUAAAUUAUGCUGCAGCAGCCUUUUGAUGGUAAUAUAUACCAAAUGUUUGCUCUAUUAUUUCUUUGCUGGUGUUUGUAUCGCUCGGCUUUCCAUGGAUGAAAGCAUGCAUGUGAAGACAAACAAGGUGAGACUUCUUUGGAACGCUAAGAAAUUGUAGCCUGAGAAAGAAGUAGCUCUAGGCAAUGAGCGCUUGUCCUACUUCAUCAAGUAGAAUUAAUAAUUCAGAAAUACUUCAUACUGAUACCUCUGCAGUGUCGCUAUCUUCAGCAACAACAAGUUAGAAUUGUGGGAUUUUUGAAGAUAUAUAAAUAUGUUCUUCAUUUCUGGAGUGAUUGAUUUGAUACUCUGGUUCUUAUUUUAGUUCAUAUUGACAGUGGAAUAUAUAGCACCAGCAUUGUAUUUGUGGAGGUUCUAAGGCCAGAUUCAUAUUUCCAAUAGUCCUAGGCAUAUAUCCUUUAUUGGACAAGCUUAGUCUCAAGUUUUUAUUCCACGCAUUGUUAGGCUUUCUACUUUUAUAGACAUAAUUUGUUGUGAAAGAUCAAAUCAGUAGAGAUUUAUUUCUGGAUGGUGCAAUAUUAUGACUCUAUAGUUGAUACAUUAUUCAAUAUGCGACUUGCUUGUUAUAACUAUAGUUGAUACAAUAUAUCUUGGACACAUUGAUUUGUUAUCAUCCACUAUUUCUCUUCUUUAUUUUGUGCAAAUGUAAAGCCAAUGUUGGUUUCAGUCUAUACUUGUUUAUGAGAUCAGUUUGUAGGCUCAGGCCUGACUGCAUCUUUCUCAGACUUAAGUCAACUAACCCGUUUCUGUUUCGUAGCACAAUCUAUAUCUCAGGUUCUGACUUUAUCUUUUUGAGAUCAGUUUUUCUGAUAUAUUUUUAAACAAUUAAUCCUUUCUCUGAUUAUUUGUACAUAUUUUGAGUUGUUGAGAUUCUCUGUACAUACUUAUACCUAUUUAUUUGUGAGAUCGAGAUCAAAUUUCGUCCGUCAAACUGGGAGUUAAAUAUUUUAAACCUUGUGUGGAGUAAUAUAUUAAAUUUGAAAGCUACAAACUGAAUAGAAAUUGUCCUUAACAAAGAAAAUUGAAUAUAAUCAUAUUAUCUUCGGAUGCAGACUAAAAGCUUCCGGUUGCAAUAUAAAUGUCCGUACCGCCUAACCGGACAGCGUGCAGGUGUGGUCGAUGCAUGCAUGCUAUUUUUACUAAGACGAGAUGCUUAAAUGAGACUUUUAUUUGUUUUGCAGGGUGAGAAGACUAUGAAGGAGAGGGGUUUCUUGGUGAUCCUCUUGUCUAGAGGGCAAUGGAAGAGAAUGGGGUAAUUUUCUAUCUCAUGCUCCAAACUUAGCUCUGAUGAGCGGCUGUUGUUCUGAAGGUCAAUGUUCUUUGUGUGUCAUGUAUACUGUGUUGGGUCAGGUUCAUCAAUCUGCUAAUUUUAGUGCGAAAAGCCACAUCUAUACUUCUAUUGUUAAUACACCCUAGGCUAUAUUGUUCAUAUGCAUUCUCUCGUAUAUCUAUACCAUUUUUCAUCCUACAAGUGAAGAUACAUGCAGUAUAUAACAUUAACAGAUCGUUGUCUCUAUGGAACAUGAUUAGAGUUAAAUAAAAUAAAUAAACUGAUGUAUAAUUUUUGAAGAUAUCUAUUUUAGACAUGCUGGUUCUGAACAAUUGCAGCAUUUCGCAGUGAACUGGCACAUCCUUUUCUUGGAUGAUUGUGUAUGCCUAAACUUUCUCUCUAAAGGGCAAAUAUGCCUUAGAAGUAUGUACCACUACUGGGAGCGCCAAUUGUCGUGCACAAGUUCAUUUCUCCACCAGAUAACCUUUUCCGCUUCUCUGAUUUGGUAGUUCCAUGUAGACAUGAAAUCCUUGCAUUCUGGCCUAGAGUUUAAGGACAUUCUGUCAAGUGUUUCGACAGUCACAUCUCUCGUAGUACAUAUGCAGAUUCAUGACAUUGUCUACGGUUUGAAUUUUUUUUUGUCUUUGAGAGUGAUGCCUUCUGGUUGACACUUUAUAUUGUCACGUGAAGGAGAACAAAAUUGAACAAAGCCGCGAAUUUUUUUCCAUACACAAUGGAAUAUAGGCCUAGACUGACAUCACAGGUUGUGUGUUAUUUUAGCCAGCUAGAUCAUAUGUCUGCUGUAGAACAGAGUGUAUUCCAUGCAAAACAAAGUGCUUUGUUUUACAUAUGGUUCUUUGUGUAUAUACAAAGUGAGCAUUUUGACUUAGUUUUGCUACAAAUGGUUGUUCUGAGUGAAAUGCCCAAUGUGAGGCAUGCACCAUAUGGUUCCGAUAUGGUUACUGAAGAGACCUUAUUUCCUUACUGAGGAGCAACCUUAUGGGGCACCAUAUAGUGAGAGUAUAUGGAUUUCCUGCAAUUUAGUUGCCGCAUGUGUUGUAUUUUUGGUGUACCAUUUUUCUCCUAUAUAAUUUGAACAAGUAACAAAGAUUUAUGAUAUGAAAAUAAGCAGCAUGAAAUCCAUAUUAUAUUUUUAUUGUUUCUUUUGCUCGAGUAAGAUUAAUAUGGAUUCUUCAUAAGCUAAUUCACCUCCUUUAGAUAUUAGGUGUCCAUAAUAUGCUUAAUAAUAAUUUCAUGGAAGGCAUGAGAGACUUUAAAUUUCUAAUACUUAAAUGCACAAAGAACAAGGGCGUGCUGUAACCAUUUAGAGUUGUAGAUAUCUGGAUUAUUGAUUCUUGUCAAUUCCGCUGUUUAAAACUUAGUCCUUUUGCAGUAUGACUGUACACCUUGAGUGUCAAAAUGUGUACUUAUAUCCACACAAGUGUUUGGAGUAGAAUGCAGGUUAACAGAGCAGGCAUAUUAGUUGGUCUGAUCUUACUGUCCCAAUUGAAUAUGCAGAUACUAUCUCUAAAUCUAUGUUUUGCAUUUUGGAUAUUCAAUUCAGAUGGCUGGUAAUAAUGGAAAUGGUGAUUCGAGGUCUAGAGCAGCUCCUUUGAUGGGGGCAGUUGAUGGUUAUCUCUAUGUGAUCUUUACUGCCACUAACAUGCCACAGGCCCAUUCACCCUGGUUAUCUCUAUGUGAUCUUUUUACCACCCUUGGAUCUAGAUAUUCUCCUACCAGCGAACUGUUCCUAGAUCCAUCCUCAUCCACAGAACUUGAGAUAUGCUUGUGAAAUAUCUGUGCUAUGUUGUCAAUACAGUAUUCCAGUCAACUAUGACAAGGUGGAUUUAACGAUUUUGUAAUUUGGCCACGGCUUGCAGGCGCCGCCGCCAAGGAGCUCAGCAGGUUGCAGCGGUCGCCAUGGCAGGGGCGUCACCAAUCUCCUUUUCCUAACUAAAAGAGGGGAAAUGCACAUUGGUAGUUGUAAGGAAUUAAUUUGGUGUUGGUACUAAUUUCUCUAUUUUUGUACAUGGUUACACGGUUAUGCAGUAUCUCUAGAAAGUUGUUAUCAUAUAUAUAAGCAUGCCAUUUCAAUUCAGAAUUCAGAUCGAUGUAAAGUCCAAAUUAAAAUGGAUCAUAUCAUUUCUCUGUGAGUAGGUCUGAUCCACUCUGACACCUUCCUGUAAUUAGGUAAUCUCUGAAUAUAAUUUUGAGUGUGGACUCAUUUUCAUUUUGAUAUUGAGAGUGAUUCAUUUUUCAAUUUCAAAUUCGAGACUAGUCUUUAUGGUUCAUUAGUGUGAUUCUUUUCGAGAUGAGCUGCUUGUAAUAGUUAAGAUUGGAUAGUACGAUUAAAUUUGAAAGGUAAAAGAAAUACAAGCAAGAGUAAGAAAUGAUAAUUGUGUUGCUUUGCUCCAGGGGAGGAAUUUUGUAGAUAAUGAGAGGAGAAAUGGAUACUUCAACCAUGAAAGGAGGAGGACAAUCGAUAGGGGAGGCAUGCAGGCAAGGAGGAGAGCAUCGGACAAACAGAUUGUUUUGUCUCCGAACUUGACCACACAGUGAUGCUUCCUAAGAGCCUAUCAAAAUCCAUGUACGUCACUACCAAGAAACUGAGCCAGAGAUCCUGACAAUGGCGACAAGCCUGCUGCCCAAGCUGUACCAAGAAACCAUCACCCGCUGCAUUCGAGAAAAUUGAACAAUGCAAGUACUAAUCAAAUUUACUGCCUGCAAGAUCACUAAAUCAGGAAAAUUCAGGAACAUCAACGAGUAUAGAACUAUGUAGAUGCAAAGUUCUACUCCAGUUUUGCUGCCCUACUUGGUCUACUUGGUCUUCUCCAUUCUGCAUCUCAAAGUAGAUGGUAAAAGUGGAGUUGCUUCCCUACUUGGUAUCCCACCAUUUGAAAGGCAACCUAUGAACGAAGUGCA